AUUGAACGCUGGCGGCAUGCCUUACACAUGCAAGUCGAACGGCAGCGGGGACUUCGGUCCGCCGGCGAGUGGCGAACGGGUGAGUAAUGUAUCGGAACGUACCAUUCAGUGGGGGAUAACUAUCCGAAAGGAUAGCUAAUACCGCAUAUUCUGCGAGCAGGAAAGCAGGGGAUCGCAAGACAUUGCGCUGAUUGAGCGGCUGAUAUCAGAUUAGCUAGUUGGUGAGGUAACGGCACACCAAGGCUACGAUCUGUAGCGGGUAUGAGAGGCUGAGCCGCCACACUGGGACUGAGACACGGCCCAGACUCCUACGGGAGGCAGCAGUGGGGAAUUUUGGACAAUGGGCGCAAGCCUGAUCCAGCCAUGCCGCGUGAGUGAGGAAGGCCUUCGGGUUGUAAAGCUCUUUCGGCCGGGAAGAAAUCGCAUCAGCUAAUACCUGGUGUGGGUGACGGUACCGGAAUAAGAAGCACCGGCUAACUACGUGCCAGCCGCCGCCGUAACAC
rnacentral:rRNA from 1 species